UAAGAAACUUAUUAGAGAACAAGAGUUUAUCAAACAUAUUUCUAGCGAGUAGGAGAUGGUGAAAGUCCUACAAUCCCUGUUGGUAAAUUUAUCCUCUCUUAGUAUCAAAUCUGAAAAUAGUAAGAUUUGACGUUGCCCACGUUACGGGAAAAGAGGGAAAGAGACUAGGUCUUUUUCCGAACAAAGGUGGUACCACGAUUUUCGUCCUUUUU
rnacentral:ncRNA from 1 species